rnacentral:rRNA from 1 species
AACGAACGCUGGCGGCAUGCCUAACACAUGCAAGUCGAACGAGACCUUCGGGUCUAGUGGCGCACGGGUGCGUAACGCGUGGGAACCUGCCCUUAGGUUCGGAAUAACUCCCCGAAAGGGGUGCUAAUACCGGAUAAUGUCUUCGGACCAAAGAUUUAUCGCCUUUGGAUGGGCCCGCGUUGGAUUAGCUAGUUGGUAGGGUAAAAGCCUACCAAGGCGACGAUCCAUAGCUGGUCUGAGAGGAUGAUCAGCCACACUGGGACUGAGACACGGCCCAGACUCCUACGGGAGGCAGCAGUGGGGAAUAUAGGACAAUGGGCGAAAGCCUGAUCCAGCAAUGCCGCGUGAGUGAUGAAGGCCUUAGAGUUGUAAAGCUCUUUUACCCGGGAUGAUAAUGACAGUACCGGGAGAAUAAGCUCCGGCUAACUCCGUG